rnacentral:sRNA from 1 species
CUUCUGUGACUUGUUGCGGGCAGAUAUAGUGUACGUGUGCAUCGAUAGCGCCUGCCGUGACAAGCAACUUUUCGCCCGCAAUGACUUCGGUCGCAGAGCCGAUGAUCAGGCGGGAGUCUACUCCAUGCAUCAUGUCUGGAUUGCCGGCCUUUCCAAUUCCAACGAUAAUGCCGCCUCGGACGCCAAUGUCUGCCUGCAGUGCAUAGGCAUAUAUGCCGCGCGGAGAGGGGUCCAGGUGGACUCACCUUGUAAAUCCCACUCCAGUCAACGAUGACGGCGUUCGUUAUGACGAGAUCAAGGGCUUCUACACAACCCGUUUUUUGGCCCAUUCCAUCCCGAAU